GACGAACGCUGGCGGCGUGCUUAACACAUGCAAGUCGAACGGAAAGGCCCUGCUUGCAGGGUACUCGAGUGGCGAACGGGUGAGUAACACGUGGGUGAUCUGCCCUGCACUUCGGGAUAAGCCUGGGAAACUGGGUCUAAUACCGGAUAGGAGCCAUUUUUAGUGUGAUGGUUGGAAAGUUUUUUCGGUGUAGGAUGAGCUCGCGGCCUAUCAGCUUGUUGGUGGGGUAAUGGCCUACCAAGGCGGCGACGGGUAGCCGGCCUGGGAGGGUGGACGGCCACAUUGGGACUGAGAUACGGCCCAGACUCCUACGGGAGGCAGCAGGGGGGAAUAUUGCACAAUGGGCGCAAGCCUGAUGCAGCGACGCCGCGUGGGGGAUGACGGCCUUCGGGUUGGAAACUCCUUUCGCUAGGGACGAAGCUUUUUGUGACGGUACCUAGAUAAGAAGCACCGGCUAACUACGUG
rnacentral:rRNA from 1 species